GCCUGUCAAUUUUUGACGUCUCACGUGUGUGUGCGUGUGUGCGUGUGCCUCUCGCUCUCGCUCUGUGCGUGUGUCUCGCUUCAUUUUGUCUUUAGUGUCAGUGGAAGAGAAAGAAAACGAAUAGUUCGAGUGUCUUGCCGUGUCUUUCGAAAUUGUGUCUCAAGCUUUGCGCCGCGCUUCAUGUUUAUGCCGGCAUUUUAAUGACGUCACGCCAGCCAGCGCAGUAACAACAGCAGCAACAACGAAAGCAACAGCAACAACUGCAAAGUCAGCAAAACCGCAAGCAAGAAAAAUAAUAUAAAGAGAGAGAAAAAAAGAAUAAGCCCAAAAACGCGUUUCUUCUGCCCCGCUGCCUCGCGCUCUCCCCCUUUUCGGCUGUUGUCCGCGUGCAAAAGAAGUUACAAAAUUAUAACAACAACGCGUGAGUUUUGUGUGCAACAACAACAACAAAAAAAACAAAAUCAAACAAACUCAGCCACAGCUGCGACUGGCCAGAAAGAGAGAGAAAGAGAAUCGCAUCGCAUCAUCAGCUGCAGCACAAGAUAAUGUAAAAUCAGCGUAUGCUCAAUAAAGAAAAGCUUACACAAAAAAAAAAACAAAAACAAAACAAAGCAAAGCAAAGCAAAAAAGCUGCUAAACUUACAAACAAUAAUCAAGUUAAAGCAUAUUUAUAUAUAAACGUUUGUUCGAAUCAAAAUUAAACUAUACAACUCUUAGCCAAGAUAGGCUUCAAGUACCCCAAGCUAUCAGCCAUCCCCAAGCUUUGUAAACAGAUAAAAAAAAGCAAGUGUAAACGCUACAACAAGAACUCAUACAAAACGCUACCAUCUAUGCUAAAUAUAUAUAUAUGUAUACCUUAUAUAUAUAGGUGCUGAUCUGUGCUAAGAGCUGUUUAUCUAAAAAACAAAACAAAAAAGAACCCAAACAAAGCCAACGUCAUAAACGUAAAUCGCGCAACAUUUCUAGUCGCCAGCUAAGCUAUCUAUAUAGUCUCCCCAGCUAAAAACUAUAUAUUUAUAUAAUAUACAUAUAUAUAUCUAUAAUACCCAUAUAUAUAUAUAUAUAUAUUAUAAUACUGAAGAGUUGCCGCUAAGAUGGCCAACGUUGUGAAUAUGAACAGCCUGCUGAAUGGCAAGGACUCGCGCUGGUUGCAGCUGGAGGUGUGCCGCGAGUUUCAGCGCAACAAAUGCUCGCGCCAGGAUACGGAGUGCAAGUUCGCCCAUCCGCCGGCCAAUGUGGAGGUGCAGAACGGCAAGGUUACCGCUUGCUAUGACAGUAUCAAGAGACGCUGUAAUCGUGAUAAACCGCCGUGCAAAUAUUUUCAUCCACCACAGCAUUUGAAGGAUCAGCUGUUGAUAAACGGACGCAAUCAUCUGGCCCUAAAGAAUGCACUGAUGCAACAAAUGGGCAUCGCGCCCGGCCCGCCGGUCAUAUCGGGCCAAGUGCCAGCCGUGGCUACAAAUCCCUACUUGACUGGCAUACCAGCCAACACAUACAGUCCUUACUAUGCCGGACACUUAGUGCCUACUUUGCUGGGACAUGAUCCGACGGCCGUUGCCUCACAGCUGGGUACGGUGGUGCCACAGACCGUUCAGGUGGCACAACAGAAAAUUCCACGCUCCGACAGAUUAGAGAUGGAUGUUAAAACGGUUGGUUCAUUUUACUAUGAAAACUUCCAAUUCUCUGGCAUGGUACCGUUCAAACGUCCAGCUGCCGAAAAGUCUGGCAUUCCAGUGUAUCAACCCGGUGCGACAACCUAUCAACAAUUAAUGCAGCCCUACGUGCCAGUGUCAUUUACUGGACACCCUCCCGGUGUGCCAAGAUUUUAAUAGAUCUAUGUGCAGUCGGUUAAAUUGUAGAUUCGUUCAUUUAACUGAAGAUGACAAGGUCGAGGUGAUUGAUCAACGUGUUGCUGUCUGUCGGGAUCAUGCCAAUAGCCAGUGCCGUCGUAAACAGUGUAAAUACUA
rnacentral:misc_RNA from 1 species